UGGGGAAUAUUGGACAAUGGGCGCAAGCCUGAUCCAGCCAUGCCGCGUGUGUGAAGAAGGCCUUCGGGUUGUAAAGCACUUUCAGUAGGGAGGAAGCGUUGUGUGUUAAUAGUACACAGCGUUGACGUUACCUACAGAAGAAGCACCGGCUAACUCUGUGCCAGCAGCCGCGGUAAUACAGAGGGUGCAAGCGUUAAUCGGAAUUACUGGGCGUAAAGCGCACGUAGGCGGUUUUUUAAGUCAGAUGUGAAAGCCCCGGGCUCAACCUGGGAAUUGCAUUUGAAACUGGAAAACUAGAGUGUGUGAGAGGGGGGUAGAAUUCCAAGUGUAGCGGUGAAAUGCGUAGAGAUUUGGAGGAAUACCAGUGGCGAAGGCGGCCCCCUGGCACAACACUGACGCUCAGGUGCGAAAGCGUGGGGAGCAAACAGGAUUAGAUACCCAGGUAGUCCACGCCGUAAACGAUGUCUACUAGCUGUUCGUGACCUUGUGUCGUGAGUAGCGCAGCUAACGCAUUAAGUAGACCGCCUGGGGAGUACGGUCGCAAGAUUA
rnacentral:rRNA from 1 species